AUUAAGCCAUGCAUGUCUCAGUACAAGCCGAAUUAAGGUGAAACCGCGAAAGGCUCAUUAAAUCAGUUAUGGUUCCUUAGAUCGUACCCACAUUUACUUGGAUAACUGUGGUAAUUCUAGAGCUAAUACAUGCAAACAGAGCUCCGACCGGAAACGAUAGGAGCGCUUUUAUUAGAUCAAAACUAAUCGGCGGCGGGUUCGCCCGUUCGUCGUACACCUUGGUGAAUCUGAAUAACUUUCUGCUGAUCGCAUGGUCUCGCACCGGCGACGCAUCUUUCAAAUGUCUGCCUUAUCAACUGUCGAUGGUAGGUUCUGCGCCUACCAUGGUUGUAACGGGUAACGGGGAAUCAGGGUUCGAUUCCGGAGAGGGAGCCUGAGAAACGGCUACCACAUCCAAGGAAGGCAGCAGGCGCGCAAAUUACCCACUCCCGGCACGGGGAGGUAGUGACGAAAAAUAACGAUACGGGACUCAUCCGAGGCCCCGUAAUCGGAAUGAGUACACUCUAAACCCUUUAACGAGGAUCAAUUGGAGGGCAAGUCUGGUGCCAGCAGCCGCGGUAAUUCCAGCUCCAAUAGCGUAUAUUAAAGUUGU
rnacentral:rRNA from 1 species